GAUAAACGCUGGCGGCGUGCCUAAUACAUGCAAGUCGAGCGAACGGACGAGAAGCUUGCUUCUCUGAUGUUAGCGGCGGACGGGUGAGUAACACGUGGAUAACCUACCUAUAAGACUGGGAUAACUUCGGGAAACCGGAGCUAAUACCGGAUAAUAUUUUGAACCGCAUGGUUCAAAAGUGAAAGACGGUCUUGCUGUCACUUAUAGAUGGAUCCGCGCUGCAUUAGCUAGUUGGUAAGGUAACGGCUUACCAAGGCAACGAUGCAUAGCCGACCUGAGAGGGUGAUCGGCCACACUGGAACUGAGACACGGUCCAGACUCCUACGGGAGGCAGCAGUAGGGAAUCUUCCGCAAUGGGCGAAAGCCUGACGGAGCAACGCCGCGUGAGUGAUGAAGGUCUUCGGAUCGUAAAACUCUGUUAUUAGGGAAGAACAUAUGUGUAAGUAACUGUGCACAUCUUGACGGUACCUAAUCAGAAAGCCACGGCUAACUACGUGCCAGCAGCCGCGGUAAUACGUAGGUGGCAAGCGUUAUCCGGAAUUAUUGGGCGUNAAGCGCGCGUAGGCGGUUUUUUAAGUCUGAUGUGAAAGCCCACGGGCUCAACCGUGGAGGGUCAUUGGAAACUGGAAAACUUGAGUGCAGAAGAGGAAAGUGGAAUUCCAUGUGUAGCGGUGAAAUGCGCAGAGAUAUGGAGGAACACCAGUGGCGAAGGCGACUUUCUGGUCUGUAACUGACGCUGAUGUGCGAAAGCGUGGGGAUCAAACAGGAUUAGAUACCCUGGUAGUCCACGCCGUAAACGAUGAGUGCUAAGUGUUAGGGGGUUUCCGCCCCUUAGUGCUGCAGCUAACGCAUUAAGCACUCCGCCUGGGGAGUACGACCGCAAGGUUGAAACUCAAAGGAAUUGACGGGGACCCGCACAAGCGGUGGAGCAUGUGGUUUAAUUCGAAGCAACGCGAAGAACCUUACCAAAUCUUGACAUCCUUUGACAACUCUAGAGAUAGAGCCUUCCCCUUCGGGGGACAAAGUGACAGGUGGUGCAUGGUUGUCGUCAGCUCGUGUCGUGAGAUGUUGGGUUAAGUCCCGCAACGAGCGCAACCCUUAAGCUUAGUUGCCAUCAUUAAGUUGGGCACUCUAAGUUGACUGCCGGUGACAAACCGGAGGAAGGUGGGGAUGACGUCAAAUCAUCAUGCCCCUUAUGAUUUGGGCUACACACGUGCUACAAUGGACAAUACAAAGGGCAGCGAAACCGCGAGGUCAAGCAAAUCCCAUAAAGUUGUUCUCAGUUCGGAUUGUAGUCUGCAACUCGACUACAUGAAGCUGGAAUCGCUAGUAAUCGUAGAUCAGCAUGCUACGGUGAAUACGUUCCCGGGUCU
rnacentral:rRNA from 1 species